GACGAACGCUGGCGGCGUGCCUAAUACAUGCAAGUCGAACGAAGCUGUUUUAACUGGUGCUUGCACCGACUUAAACAACUGAGUGGCGAACGGGUGAGUAACACGUGGGUAACCUGCCCCAAAGCGGGGGAUAACAUUUGGAAACAGAUGCUAAUACCGCACAACCACAGAAACCACAUGGUUUCUGUGUCAAAGAUGGUUUCGGCUAUCACUUUGGGAUGGACCCGCGGCGUAUUAGCUAGUUGGUAAGGUAAUGGCUUACCAAGGCAAUGAUACGUAGCCGAACUGAGAGGUUGAUCGGCCACAUUGGGACUAAGACACGGCCCAAACUCCUACGGGAGGCAGCAGUAGGGAAUCUUCCACAAUGGACGAAAGUCUGAUGGAGCAACGCCGCGUGAGUGAAGAAGGUUUUCGGAUCGUAAAACUCUGUUGUCAGAGAAGAACGUGUGCGAGAGUAACUGUUCGUGCAGUGACGGUAUCUGGCCAGAAAGCCACGGCUAACUACGUGCCAGCAGCCGCCGUAA
rnacentral:rRNA from 1 species